rnacentral:rRNA from 1 species
CCUACGGGAGGCUGCAGUGGGGAAUAUUGCACAAUGGGCGAAAGCCUGAUGCAGCAACGCCGCGUGAGCGAUGAAGGCCUUCGGGUCGUAAAGCUCUGUCCUCAAGGAAGAUAAUGACGGUACUUGAGGAGGAAGCCCCGGCUAACUACGUGCCAGCAGCCGCGGUAAUACGUAGGGGGCUAGCGUUAUCCGGAAUUACUGGGCGUAAAGGGUGCGUAGGUGGUUUCUUAAGUCAGAGGUGAAAGGCUACGGCUCAACCGUAGUAAGCCUUUGAAACUGGGGAACUUGAGUGCAGGAGAGGAGAGUGGAAUUCCUAGUGUAGCGGUGAAAUGCGUAGAUAUAUGGAAGAACACCAGUGGCGAAGGCGGCUGUCUGGUCUGCAACUGACGCUGAGGCUCGAAAGCAUGGGUAGCGAACAGGAUUAGAUACCCUUGUAGUC